CCUACGGGGGGCAGCAGUGGGGAAUAUUGGACAAUGGGGGCAACCCUGAUCCAGCCAUGCCGCGUGUGUGAAGAAGUCCCUCGGGUUGUAAAGCACUUUCAGUGAGGAAGAACGCCUGGUGGUUAAUACCCAUCAGGAAAGACAUCACUCACAGAAGAAGCACCGGCUAACUCCGUGCCAGCAGCCGCGGUAAUACGGAGGGUGCGAGCGUUAAUCGGAAUUACUGGGCGUAAAGCGCGCGUAGGUGGCUUGAUAAGCCGGUUGUGAAAGCCCCGGGCUCAACCUGGGAACGGCAUCCGGAACUGUCAAGCUAGAGUGCAGGAGAGGAAGGUAGAAUUCCCGGUGUAGCGGUGAAAUGCGUAGAGAUCGGGAGGAAUACCAGUGGCGAAGGCGGCCUUCUGGACUGACACUGACACUGAGGUGCGAAAGCGUGGGUAGCAAACAGGAUUAGAUACCCUGGUAGUC
rnacentral:rRNA from 1 species